GAAGGUAGAACCAGGAAGCACUGAGCUGGGACCACUGGGGACAAUGUCAAGGCCACGGGUGUUCUAUGGAAGGGGGAUUGGGCUACAGCAGAGAGGACCCCGGAAAGGAGAAAGGAAGGCAGGAAGAACCUGCAAACGUCAGUCCAGGGUGGAAGUUCCUGGGCCUGGAUGGCCCCGAGAAGCUGCCAGAAGCCCCCGCUCCUCCUCUUGUGAGCUGUGCUACUCUGAGCAAGGCCUCUGAGCCCGGUUUCCCGUGAAGGCCUGGCCAUCGCAGCUCUGCCCAAAUGGAGGUCAGAGAAUCGGUAAGGCCUGUUCGCUGGCAGGACUCACCGCAGGUGUGAGUACAGGGCGGGCGACGGCCAGCCCAUGCCGUGGCUCCCUGAAAACUGUGACAUGGGGGCAGCCAGUGACUGGCCAGCCCUUCAGUGGAUGGAGCCCGAAUCCUCCACCCACCUUUAAAGCCCCACCAUUACGGCUUCACUCCUUUGCCGCUUCAGUCCCUGUCCACAGGAGUUUACAGUUACCCAAACCCACCCGGUGACGGCACAGCCUCCCGAGCCCUGCCUCCCACCUGCCCGGCCCUUUCCUGGUUGGACGCCACCAUCCGCCCUGCCUCCUAAAGCCUCCUGCCUCUCCCUCCUGCUCCGCCCAUUCCCGACUCUGGACACCACAGGCCCCAGUAAUCUCUGAGCCGGGCUCCCCGGCUCCUGUCGGCCUCAUGAUGUCCUCUCUCAUGUGCCCUCUGCAAAGACCCCCACGUGGCCUGGCUGCUGGGUUGGCGCACGCUACACGGACCUUCGGGUGGGCCCUAAAGGCUGACGAUGGUAAUUCCAUCCGGUUGGCUCUAAAAGUCUGAGAGGACUGCGCGGAUUUCCUGCAGCACCUGCCCCUCUCUCCUCCCUUCUUUCCUCGCCAUCGCCUCCUCCAGAAAGCAUCUCUUGACCAACCCUUCCUCCCAUUGAGUAGUGCCCAUGCUCCUAAAAUCACCUUGGGAAUAAUGCCACACGUGCCACUUGACUUCGGACUGCUUCCUUUUCCAUCGCUGGCUCUCGUCCUAAAACUCACAGGGCAGGCAUGAAGUUUCCAUCUCCCCAGGACCUGGAGCCCAGCAGCCCUCAGUUAAUAUUUACUAAUGAAUCAGGGGACAUGUUAGCUGGAGCUCAUUCACACUGGCAUGUCAAUGGCUGAUAUUCAUCUUUCCCUGAGAACAACUCCUGAUAGGGGAGCAAGAGGGGAAUCCGGGACCCAGAGCAGGUGGAGAGAAGGCAGCAGCCCCGCUGCGGGGCGGGGGCAGCUCAGCUCUGCUGGCACCUUCCUUCCAGGCCGGCUUCCGCUGCACACCCUGAGCAGCUUGGUUGGAGGGGAAUCGUGGAUCCUAUUGGAACACGUCAGAGGCACUGCUGUGGCGAGCGGCACGGCCAUGGCAUACUCAGCCCCAGGGCGCCUUAUGUGCCGCGCCGGCUCAGCCUGAUUCAGCGACCCUGAGUGAGGGCUGUGAAGGAUGGAGAAAAGACAGACAAGAGAAUGAGAGCUGGGUCUCGGUGGGACGCUGCUCCCAGAUGGAGAGACAGCGCCAGCGCCCACAGCCGUGUCUUUAUUUUAUAGCAGAUGCCACGAGGCAAAGUCAGGGCGUGAUCAAGAUGUUGACAACAUUCUCGUGGGUUUCAACCCUACUCAACUACAUGCACCUGAACUCUAUCAAGCCCACAUCACUCAGGCACGUGGGGCCACGUGUUCGGACCAUAGGUUCAAGCUCACAACUAUAGCCGUUGGCUAUAACUGUGCUGGGCGGGCUCUGCCCUCCAAGCUGGGACUUGCACGUGGCCACGAGAGGACUGUGCCUUCUCGUCAGUCCGAGGCUUGAACCUGUCCAAAACACCAUAGUCGCGCCCCACACACUGUGACAGUUUCCAGGGGAAGGAGGAGCUGGGCAGCCUGAGAAGUCAGACCGUGUAAGGUCGGAACCCCAGACGGUCCCGGGUUCAAUUCCCGGUCAAGGGCACAUGCCCGGGUUGCAGGCUCAUCCCUGGUGGGGGUGUGCAGGAGGCAGCCAAUCAAUGACUCUCUCUCAUCAUCGAUGUUUCUAUCUCUCUCUCCCUCUCCCUUCCUCUCUGAAAUCAAUAAAAAUAUAUUUUAAAAAAACAA